UACAGAGGUGCCAAGCGUUAGGCGGAAUCACUGGGCUUAAAGCGCGUGUAGGUGGACGGGUAAGUAUCUUGUGAAAUCCCACGGCUCAACCGUGGAACUGCUGGAUAUACUGCUUGUCUUGAGGCACUUAGGGGCAGCUGGAACAAAUGGUGGAGCGGUGAAAUGCGUAGAUAUCAUUUGGAACGCCAAAGGCGAAAGCAGGCUGCUGGGAGUGAUCUGACACUGAGACGCGAA
rnacentral:rRNA from 1 species